AUUGAACGCUGGCGGCAGGCUUAACACAUGCAAGUCGAGCGGGGGAAGGUAGCUUGCUACCGGACCUAGCGGCGGACGGGUGAGUAAUGCUUAGGAAUCUGCCUAUUAGUGGGGGACAACAUCUCGAAAGGGAUGCUAAUACCGCAUACGUCCUACGGGAGAAAGCAGGGGAUCUUCGGACCUUGCGCUAAUAGAUGAGCCUAAGUCGGAUUAGCUAGUUGGUGGGGUAAAGGCCUACCAAGGCGACGAUAUGUAGCGGGUCUGAGAGGAUGAUCCGCCACACUGGGACUGAGACACGGCCCAGACUCCUACGGGAGGCAGCAGUGGGGAAUAUUGGACAAUGGGGGGAACCCUGAUCCAGCCAUGCCGCGUGUGUGAAGAAGGCCUUAUGGUUGUAAAGCACUUUAAGCGAGGAGGAGGCUACUUUAGUUAAUACCUAGAGAUAGUGGACGUUACUCGCGGAAUAAGCACCGGCUAACUCUGUGCCAGCAGCCGCCGUAA
rnacentral:rRNA from 1 species